CAUAGCAAAUAUGCUUCAGCCCCAGGCAGCUGACUUCUUGUUCACCCAGAUGGAAAUUAAACCUCAAUGUGCAUAUUGCAAGCACCUGCCACAGCCUCUUAAAAAUGCAAGACCUUAACCAGGCAACAGGGAUAUAGUUUCAGAGAGGAAGAAGAACUACAUUGGUGCCCUUCAUCGGAAGGGAUAAAAAGAGAGGAAGAAGGAUUCCAUAUGCAAAGAUAAGACAGAUUUCUGCAACAUCAAGUCACUAAUUCUAGCAUGAUCCUGUGGACGGAAGUGUCAGAAAUGACUCACCAAAUCAUCUACUGACUUUUCCUCAGUCACACAGGAAUAGAUACUAAGCCACCACUGAAUCUGAGUUUCUGUCUUCUCUAAGAUUUCUCAACUACAGAA